UUAAGUUUUACUUGUUUGACACAAAUGAACCAAAAUAAACAUUGCCAGAAUUGUCCACACUGAGUAUGGCUAAAAUUAGCUAAUAGGCUAAAAGGCACUUUAUACUUACACAUGUUAUACCAUAGUAUAAAGUAUGUUUAAUGAUACAGUCAAAGUUAUUACUUUAGCUUAUUUAUGUAGCCUUUGAGAAUUUCUUUCAGAAAUUAAAACAUCUGAAAGAGAAAAGUUAUUUGGCAUGAUGGAAUGAUUUGAUUGCCUACACAUUGCACAUGUAAAAUGUUAAAUACUGUUCUGUAUUAAAAGCUCAGCAUAAGUGUUUGAUUAACUUCCUUUGCUUUUGUUUUGUACAAAGGAAGAGCAGAACCUAAUCCAAAUAAAAAUAAACAAGCUGUUAAAAGCCAGUUGAAGGUGGUCAACACAAACCAAAUGAAGAUGUUGCACAUUCCACAAACAAUAAAAAAGAAGAUCAAGUUUUGUGUCCAACACACUUGGAUGAGACGUGCCCGACCCCUGACUUUGUCUACCCUACAUUAAGUUGUGAUGGCACACUUCAUGACAGUAAACAUCGGUAUCAAGAUGAUGUGAUUGAUCUAUACCCUAGAAUAAGCUGUGACACUAUGAGACGGUGACAUAAUGAACAGCCAUCUUCCAGACAACCGAAACAGUAUUGUCUACAAUACCAAAUUCUGGAUUGACGCCCCAGUACCAGAAGGCACUCCAAUCCCAGAGAGCAUCCCAUUGUGAGGUAACACAACGAAAAAAUAACAGGAUGGAGACUACCUGAUUCUUCACCUAUGGCCUUAGCUUCAAAUGCAAGAAGUCCAGCAACUGUCUGAGCUGGUGGAUAUUCUAUCAGAGACUGCAUGAACAACGUUAUGAACAGGUAUGUGUUUCCCUUGAAUUGUGUAAUCCUGCAUAAUAUUGCAGGAAUAUUGAUUACAACCAUAAUUAACCCAGCAAUUUAUAUUACUUAAAUUCAGGAUUUAAUCUGUCACACAUCACUUGUUCAGAACUAUUAAAGUUCGUAGUGGCUCAAACAGUCAGCCAUACUGAAAACAAGAAAUCAAAUCAUAAUUUCAGUGUAAGCCAGUGGUGUCAAACUCAGUUCCUGGAGGGCCGGUGUCAUUUUUUGACAGUUACACACCUAGUUUAGGGUCUUUCUCAAGGGCACCACAGUGGGAUUGAAGAGCAAGGGUACAAAUGCUGUUGGUCUCACAACUGAUCUAACACUUAUUUAAAGCAUAACAUCUUUUAUACAAUAAUUUAUAUAUAUAUAUAUAUAUAUAUAUAUAUAUAUAUAUAUAUAUAUAUAUAUAUAUAUAUAUAUAUGAAGAGUUUCAUUGCAAAACGAGAUAACUCCGUUUUUAACAUUUUUGUCAAAACAUGUUUAUUAUUCUGUUAUCAUGUUAUUAUCUUGUUAUAUGGUGCUACCUAGCUGUAUUUUUUAAGUUAUGAACGUUUAAAUCAAAACAAACCAACUGCAGUUGAACAACCAAAAAACAAGAUUUCUGAAAAAUUAUAUAUAUAUAAUUUUAGCUGUAGACCAUAAAGAUUUUGAAAGUAAGUGCAUGUCAUUUACCUCAAAUGUUUAAUUGUAUUUAUUUUAAAAAGAAACAUAUUCUUCUCUUCCCUCAGAUGCCGUGAGGAGGUGGAGCCCAAAAGCCACGGACUCGGAAAUCGAUGCAGCUAUGGCAGACCACCUCAAGCACGCUCCAGGAAGAGAGCUAGGGGUUGUGAAUACAAAAAAUAAGCCAAACAGAUGUAAUGUGUUAGAGAUAGUUCACACAAAAAUGAAAAUUGUUAUAAUUUUCUUACCCACGUGUUUCAAACCUGUAUACAUUUCUAUUUUUUGCUGAACACAAAGAUUGAAUAAUGUUUGUAACCAAGCAUUUCUCACAACCCAUUAACUGUCAUAAUCAUUUUUUUUACAAUUGUAGUAAUGGGUUGUGAGAUCUGCUUUUUUAAAAAACAUUCUUUCAAAUAUCUUUGUGUUCCGCAGAACAUAGAAAGGUAUACAGGUUUGAAACAUGAGAGGGAGUAAAUGACUAAAUAUUCAUUUUUGGGUGAACUAUCCCUUUAUAUAAUAAAGUAUUUUGAAAUUGUUAUUAUAGUUAAAAAAAAUAAAAGUCUUAAAUCAGAACAUGCUUCUUUUUUGCUCAUGUCCACAAAUAAUGUGUUCUUUAAUGUGUUUAAUGCCUAAAGACCUACACCAAGCGACAAGUGCUAUGGUUGUUAGCUUAUAUACAUUCUGAAAAUUUCAUGUGUACUUUAUGUGAAUGGAGGCCUAUGAUUAUUGCUUCUGACUGUAGGGUAAUUAAAUAUAAGGUAGCCUAAACACAUGAAAGACUAAACAUCACAUAGGCCAUAAAUCCCAAAAAUAAGGCAUAGCUGGCAUUGAUCUGGUACGCGGAUCUGUGCCGCAUCUCUAUGCGGGACUGGGCCAGCUCUGUUCCAUUUCCAGUUCAGAUUCGUGAAACUGAUCCUGACCACUUCUUGGCCGAUGUGCGUUUGGACACUGGACCGUGUUAGUUAAACGGAUCUGAUGCGGAUGGAACGGUAUGUGUGGGCCAGCUCCACCCCAGUGUUGUUUUACUGUUUUGGUACGAGAGUGGGCCAGGGCUGACCCAUCUCUGGUGCAGAGCCAUGAAACAAAUCCUGAUCACUUUUGGCCCGUUG